UACCAGCACCCCGAGUGGUCGGGACGAUUAUUGGGCCUAAAGCAUCCGUAGCCGGUCCUACAAGUCUUCCGUUAAAUCCACCUGCUUAACAGAUGGGCUGCGGAAGAUACUAUAGGGCUAGGAGGCGGGAGAGGCAAGCGGUACUCAGUGGGUAGGGGGUAAAAUCCUCUGAUCCAUUGAAGACCACCAGUGGCGAAGGCGGCUUGCCAGAACGCGCUCGACGGUGAGGGAUGAAAGCUGGGGGGAGCAAACCGG
rnacentral:rRNA from 1 species